GGAUCUGUAGCUUAACGGUAAAAGCAUCUGUCUCAUAAACAGAAGACCCUAAUAAGGCACGUGUCAGUUCGACUCUGACCAGAUCCA
rnacentral:tRNA from 1 species